AAGAAGUUCCUGUGGUGUGGUCCAGGCGGUGCUCAACGGGUCCCACAAUAACACCUUUGAUAAAAACAGCAUUUUUCUAAGUGUGGAAGUCCCUAAUUUGAAUCCAAAGAAUGUUUCUACACUACAAGCCUUGGUCAUGGAUGACAUUGGAGGAAAUGUCAGUCACAAGUGCUUGGGACACAGCAUUGAUGAUCUGAAAUGGAUUUUAAACAACAAGAGUAUUCCAUUUUCCUGCCUGGAUGACUACAGGCCUCUCCAUCUUCUUCAGUGUGCAAAAACUCCUGAGCAUCCGUCUUGCAGCUCUGUAAUAUGAGCCGUAGGCAUGGUGGUUUCAGGUCUUUGAGAUCUUCGUAUGUGACUGUGCAUGACUCAGGAAACACCGUGGUGGAAAGCUGAAGAUUUGGGGGAUCUUCUGUCAUCAUGUCAACACCAGAGAUGAAGCCUUUCCCCCCAAAGUCUUAAAAUAACUUGUGCUAUAGGCAUAGUUUUUAUUUUUAUGUUGAUAUAUUAAUAUUCAAGAAAAGAUGAAUUAUUAUAUAAAA